rnacentral:rRNA from 1 species
AUUGAACGCUGGCGGCAGGCCUAACACACGCAAGUCGAGCGGAUGAAGGGAGCUUGCUCCUGGAUUCAGCGGCGGACGGGUGAGUAAUGCCUAGGAAUCUGCCUGGUAGUGGGGGAUAACGUCCGGAAACGGGUGCUAAUACCGCAUACGUCCUGAGGGAGAAAGUGGGGGAUCUUCGGACCUCACGCUAUCAGAUGAGCCUAGGUCGGAUUAGCUAGUUGGUGGGGUAAAGGCCUACCAAGGCGACGAUCCGUAACUGGUCUGAGAGGAUGAUCAGUCACACUGGAACUGAGACACGGUCCAGACUCCUACGGGAGGCAGCAGUGGGGAAUAUUGGACAAUGGGCGAAAGCCUGAUCCAGCCAUGCCGCGUGUGUGAAGAAGGUCUUCGGAUUGUAAAGCACUUUAAGUUGGGAGGAAGGGCAGUAAGUUAAUACCUUGCUGUUUUGACGUUACCAACAGAAUAAGCACCGGCUAACUUCGUG